UCGUCGCCUUCAAACAUGACCGGUGAACACGUAACACAAAGCUAUCGGGGAGGGUUAUCCCCCCCGACCCCACGGCCCCGGCCAUCCGGUCGGGUGCCGGAAUACGGCGCGGAAUGUCGCCAAGGAACACUGAUCUGCCUGAGCGGACGGCAUCGCGCCGGCGCCGCCAAGGCCACAAGAACUGUAUGACUCUCGGCAACGGAUAUCUCGGCUCUCGCAUCGAUGAAGAACGUAGCGAAAUGCGAUACGUGGUGUGAAUUGCAGAAUCCCGUGAACCAUCGAGUCUUUGAACGCAAGUUGCGCCCGAGGGACCCUCCCGAGGGCACGCCUGCCUGGGCGUUAGAAGCCCAUCAACGCUCGGUCGCCCCUCCACGUACUGCGGCAGGGGACUCGGCCAGAUGCGGAGGUUGGCCCUCCGAGUCGUAAAAGACGCGGCGGGCUCAAGUGUGCGGCUGUCGACAGUGUCGGGAGCGGCGAGUGGUGGGCUACAGCGCACGCCGAACCCCCGACACUCGAUAUGACACACGGCCCUUCCGGACCCCAGAACAGGAAGCCUGUCGCCACGGCAUCACGCC
rnacentral:misc_RNA from 1 species